rnacentral:rRNA from 1 species
CGCGAAAACUUUACAAUGCGGGAAACCGUGAUAAGGGGACACCGAGUGCCAGCAUCAUAUGCUGGCUGUCCGGGUGUGUAAAAUACACCUGUUAGCAAGGGCCGGGCAAGACCGGUGCCAGCCGCCGCGGUAACACCGGCGGCCCGAGUGGUGAUCGUGAUUAUUGGGUCUAAAGGGUCCGUAGCCGGUUUGGUCAGUCCUCCGGGAAAUCUGAUAGCUCAACUAUUAGGCUUUCGGGGGAUACUGCCAGGCUUGGAACCGGGAGAGGUAAGAGGUACUACAGGGGUAGGAGUGAAAUCUUGUAAUCCCUGUGGGACCACCUGUGGCGAAGGCGUCUUACCAGAACGGGUUCGACGGUGAGGGACGAAAGCUGGGGGCACGAACCGGAUUAGAUACCCGGGUAGUCCCAGCCGUAAACGAUGCUCGCUAGGUGUCAGGCAUGGCGCGACCGUGUCUGGUGCCGC